rnacentral:rRNA from 1 species
GAUGAACGCUGGCGGCGUGCCUAAUACAUGCAAGUCGAGCGAACAGACGAGGAGCUUGCUCCUCUGACGUUAGCGGCGGACGGGUGAGUAACACGUGGAUAACCUACCUAUAAGACUGGGAUAACUUCGGGAAACCGGAGCUAAUACCGGAUAAUAUAUUGAACCGCAUGGUUCAAUAGUGAAAGACGGUUUUGCUGUCACUUAUAGAUGGAUCCGCGCCGCAUUAGCUAGUUGGUAAGGUAACGGCUUACCAAGGCAACGAUGCGUACCCGACCUGAGAGGGGGAUCGCCCCCACGGGAACUGGGACCCGGCCCAGACCCCUACGGGAGGAAGAGGUAGGGAAUUUUCCGCAAGGGGCGAAGCCCUGAGGGGCAAACGCCGCGGAGGGAAGAAAGGUUUUGGGAUCGUAAAACCUUUUUUUUGGGGAAAAAAAAAGUGGUAAGUAAUUAUCCCGUUUUUGAGGGUCCCAAAUAAAAAGGCCCCGGUAAACUCCGU